rnacentral:rRNA from 1 species
CCUACGGGAGGCAGCAGUAGGGAAUUUUCGGCAAUGGGGGGAACCCUGACCGAGUAACGCCGCGUGAACGAAGAAGUUAUUCGUAAUGUAAAGUUCUUUUAACAGGGAAGAAAGAGAAAUUUGACGGUACCUGAAGAAUAAGCUCCGGCUAACUACGUGCCAGCAGCGGCGGUAAUACGUAGGGAGCGAGCGUUAUCCGGAAUUAUUGGGCGGAAAGGGUGCGUAGAUGGCAUAGUAAGUCUUUUGUAAAAAGCCUGGGAUAAACCCAGUAGGGCAACAGAUACUCCAAAGCUAGAGGAUGACAGAGGCAAGUGGAACGACAGGUGUAGCGGUAAAAGGCGUAAAUAGAUGUAAGAACACCAGGGGCGAAGGCGGCUUGCUGGGUCGAUACUGACAUGGAGGCACGAAAGCGUGGGGAGCAAACAGGAGUAGAUACCCUAGGAGGC